AACCAACUCCCUGAGUGGUGGGGAUGAUUAUCGGGCUUAAAGCGUCCGUAGCUGGCCUGGUUAGUCCCGCGUUUAAAUCCAGCGACCUAAUCGUUGAGCCGCGGGAGAUACUACUAGGCUAGGAGGCGGGAGAGGUCGACGGUACUUUCGGGGUAGGGGUGAAAUCCUAUAAUCCCGGGAGGACCACCAGUGGCGAAGGCUGUCGACUAGAACGCGCUCGACGGUGAGGGACGAAAGCUGGGGUAGCGAACCGGAUUAGAUACCCGGGUAGUCCCAGCUGUAAACUAUGCGGGCUAGGUGUUGGGGUGGCUACGGGCCACUUCAGUGCCGCAGGAAAGCCAUUAAGCCGCCGCCUGGGGAGUACGGCCGCAAGGCUGAAACUUAAAGGAAUUGGCGGGGAGCACCACAAGGCGUGAAGCUUGCGGUUC
rnacentral:rRNA from 1 species